GAGAUUUCGGCGCCGCGGGCUGGCCGGCCUCCUCCUCUGCCGCCUGCUAGCCCCUCCCCGCGGCCCGAGGGCUGAUCUACAUGUUUAUUGAUUCCUACCGGUACUGAGGGGCCCAGAGACCCGAUUUCAAUGGCAUAGACAGUACACCCAAUCUUCCCUUUACUACUGGAGCUGCCCAAAUCGGAGAAGGCAAUGUUCAGAUCAAAGGGCACUUUUCCUGAGCCCCGACCGAGUACAGCGUUUUGAGGUGCCGGCUGACCUUGGCUGCUGUAGCUGACUUCGGGCAUUACAAACCUACACCAAAGACCGGAUUCAGGGGAAUAGCUAUUGAUUUGUUCAUCAGCGGGCAAAACAAGUGCGGGAAUAGUUGAGUAGGAAGUAUCACGGUGGAUAAAGGUAGGCUAGAGAAUCAGAUAUGGGGAUGAC
rnacentral:lncRNA from 1 species